UGGAAUACAAUAUUCAGUCUAAAACAAACCCU
rnacentral:piRNA from 1 species